rnacentral:rRNA from 1 species
AUUGAACGCUGGCGGCAGGCCUAACACAUGCAAGUCGAACGAGUGGCGGACGGGUGAGUAAUGUCUGGGGAACAGCCUGAAGGCGGGGGCUAACUCCGGGAAACGGUAGCUAAUACCGCAUACCAUCGGAUGUGCCCAGAGGGGAUGAGCUAGUAGGUGGGGUAAAGGCUCACCUAGGCGACGAUCCCUAGCUGGUCUGAGAGGAUGACCAGCCACACUGGAACUGAGCCACGGUCCAGACUCCUACGGGAGGCAGCAGUGGGGAAUAUUGCACAAUGGGCGCAAGCCUGAUGCAGCCAUGCCGCGUGUAUGAAGAAGGCCUUCGGGUUGUAAAGUACUUUCAGCGGGGAGGCGUUACCCGCAGAAGAAGCACCGGCUAACUCCGUGCCAGCAGCCGCGGUAAUUC